rnacentral:misc_RNA from 1 species
UAUCUCCGAUCUCCCCACCCCCAUAAUUUUUUUUUUUCAUUUUAAAUUUUUGCAAAUCCAGCUAUGUCAUUUGCUUCCACCAAACUCAAGAUUCAAGAGCAUAGAGAAAUAAAUAUUUUGCAAGAUCCUAGAAAAGACCUCUAAUCCAUAGCAUUAGGGCCAGCACAGGCCUUCAACUCAGGGCUCCAAAUCCACUGCACCAAAAACUUCCUUCCUCUCCCACCAUACAUGUUAAAAGUCCUUCCUUGCUUGUCCC